AACGAACGCUGGCGGCGUGGCUAAGACAUGCAAGUCGUACGAUACGUUGUAGCAAUAUGGCGUAUAGUGGCGGGCGGGUGAGUAAUGAAUAGGUAACGUACCCCGGGCACAGGAAUAGCGUCGAACCCCGCAAGGGGUUCUUUGCGAAAGUGACGGUAAUACCUGGUGACGUCAUUGAGGGGCAUCUCUCGAUGACCAUAGGGUGGGGACCUUCGGGCCUACCGGCCUGGGAGCGGCCUAUUUCCUAUCAGCUAGUUGGUGAGGUAACGGCUCACCAAGGCAACGACGGGUAACCGGACUGAGAGGUUGGCCGGUCACAUCGGGACUGAGACACUGCCCGGACAUCUACGGAUGGCUGCAGUAACGAAUAUUCCGCAAUGGGCGCAAGCCUGACGGAGCGACGCCGCGUGGAGGACGAAUUCCUUCGGGAUGUAAACUCCUUUUAGGGAUCUGAAAACAGAGCGCGCUAAUACCGCGCGAGUUGAUCUAUCCCAGAAAAAGCCUCGGCUAAACCCGUGC
rnacentral:rRNA from 1 species